rnacentral:rRNA from 1 species
UACGUAGGGUGCGAGCGUUAAUCGGAAUUACUGGGCGUAAAGCGUGCGCAGGCGGUUCUCCAAGUCCGUUGUGAAAGCCCCGGGCUCAACCUGGGAAUGGCAGUGGAAACUAGGGGACUGGAAUCUGGCAGAGGGGGGUGGAAUGCCGCGUGUAGCAGUGAAAUGCGUAGAGAUGCGGCGGAACACCGAUGGCGAAGGCAGCCCCCUGGGCUGAGAUUGACGCUCAGGCACGAAAGCGUGGGUAGCAAACAGG